UACGUAGGGUGCGAGCGUUAAUCGGAAUUACUGGGCGUAAAGCGUGCGCAGGCGGUUCUGUAAGCCAGAUGUGAAAUCCCCGGGCUUAACCUGGGAAUGGCAUUUGGGACUGCAAGGCUGGAGUGCGGCAGAGGAGACUGGAAUUCCUGGUGUAGCAGUGAAAUGCGUAGAUAUCAGGAGGAACACCGGUGGCGAAGGCGGGUCUCUGGGCAUGAUCUGACGCUGAGGAGCGAAAGUGUGGGGAGCGAACAGG
rnacentral:rRNA from 1 species